rnacentral:rRNA from 1 species
UACGUAGGGCGCAAGCGUUGUCCGGAAUUAUUGGGCGUAAAGAGCUCGUAGGCGGCUUGUCACGUCGAUUGUGAAAGCCCGAGGCUUAACCUCGGGUCUGCAGUCGAUACGGGCUAGCUAGAGUGUGGUAGGGGAGAUCGGAAUUCCUGGUGUAGCGGUGAAAUGCGCAGAUAUCAGGAGGAACACCGAUGGCGAAGGCAGGUCUCUGGGCCAUUACUGACACUGAGAAGCGAAAGCAUGGGGAGCGAACAGG